rnacentral:rRNA from 1 species
AACUGCUCAGAGCGAACGCUGGCGGCAGGCCUAACACAUGCAAGUCGAACGAAGUCUUCGGACUUAGUGGCGGACGGGUGAGUAACACGUGGGAACGUGCCUUUAGGUUCGGAAUAACUCAGGGAAACUUGUGCUAAUACCGAAUGUGCCCUUCGGGGGAAAGAUUUAUCGCCUUUAGAGCGGCCCGCGUCUGAUUAGCUAGUUGGUGAGGUAAAGGCUCACCAAGGCGACGAUCAGUAGCUGGUCUGAGAGGAUGAUCAGCCACAUUGGGACUGAGACACGGCCCAAACUCCUACGGGAGGCAGCAGUGGGGAAUCUUGCGCAAUGGGCGAAAGCCUGACGCAGCCAUGCCGCGUGAAUGAUGAAGGUCUUAGGAUUGUAAAAUUCUUUCACCGGGGACGAUAAUGACGGUACCCGGAGAAGAAGCCCCGGCUAACUUCGUGCCAGCAGCCGCGGUAAUACGAAGGGGGCUAGCGUUGCUCGGAAUUACUGGGCGUAAAGGGAGCGUAGGCGGACAUUUAAGUCAGGGGUGAAAUCCCGGGGCUCAACCUCGGAAUUGCCUUUGAUACUGGGUGUCUUGAGUGUGAGAGAGGUAUGUGGAACUCCGAGUGUAGAGGUGAAAUUCGUAGAUAUUCGGAAGAACACCAGUGGCGAAGGCGACAUACUGGCUCAUUACUGACGCUAGCUCU